GAAGGGGCGGAUGUAGCCAAGUGCAUCAAGGCAGUGGAUUGUGAA
rnacentral:tRNA from 1 species